rnacentral:lncRNA from 1 species
UUUGUCUCAAAAAAAUACCAAAAACCAAAAACAACAAAAACAAAAAACAUCAAAAGACUAUGAGAAACAGUGAUUGGAUGUUUGGGGUGUGGAUAUCGGAAUCUGGAGCUGGGGACAGGUGUGUCAUUUGAUAGUCCCUUUUGAGAACCACUGUUGAUCUAAAGCUAUUCCAGUUCCCUAGGGGAUUGCUAAUAACCGGUGCAGCUGCUGAGACAGGGAAAGGGGCCUAAUUCCUUUUGCAAAACAAGGAGCAAUAUUUAUAUGAGAACUCAGUACAUUUCAUCACAUAAAAAUUGCAAAACGCCAGGCUCUGUCAUUUUUAAACUAAUAUUUUUGGGAGUCCACCAAACAGUCUCUAAGAUGGAACUGAUUGUGAAUAUGCUGGUGCCAGGUGCAAUGGCUCACACCUGUAAUCCCAGCUACUUGGGAGGCUGAGGUGGGAGGAUCACCUGAAGCCAGGAGUUCGAGGCCAGCCUGGGCCUCUCUAAAAAAAAAAAAGCUGUAAGUCAAAUGAUAUAGCCUCUAGAAGCCACAGUUUGCUCAUUUACAAACUGGAGGAGAAUAAGAUGAGAAUUGUCUGAUAUUGAGGAUCAGAAAGUGCUUCAUGAUGCAUAAAGCAGGUAAUGGAUUAUCAAUGCUUUGCUGCUCAGACACACAGCAAUGGGUUCAUACCAUUCUGAGAGUCUAAAUUUAGGACGUGGUGUGACCAAAAUUACCAGUAAUUAAGUUUCUUAUGUUUCUGAGGCUCUGCUUCCUCAUCUGUACACUGUGGCAAGACCUUGUUCUGACUAUGCACUGAGGAUAAAAUAAGGCCUUUUGAAAAAGAUGAUGACACUGACCACUAAUUAAUGAUUUCAAUGUUCCCGUCCAAGGUCAGGCAAAAGCAAUGCAGAGCCAUAGAGAAUGUUGGUGCAACACUGCCCUCUGCUGGUCAGUAGCAGCACCACCAUGGUUACAGAGAGGAAAAGGUCUUUACAAAGGGAUUCCUGGGAAACUGAGGCAGAGAGUGGAAGGGAUUUGCUCAAGGGCACAGAGUUAGCUUUGGACAAAGUGAUGGCUCGAAUCUGAGAUUCCUAAUUCCUAGUUCUUUCUAGAGGGAGAAAAAUAAGGGCUGGAAACUAGUGGAUUGUCGUUUCACUCUCACUAGGCUCUGCACGGCAUUUUAAAUAGGCUGAUUGGAAUUUCUCUCUCCUGUUCUUCCCUUGCCACCCAAACUGCUCGGGUUUCUUGUCCUUUUCUUCAUACCAGGAUAACCAUCUGUGUGGCCCCAUAAGGCCCAAAGUCCUCUUGGGUGCUGCCGGAGGUCCAACAACCAGUAAAGCACGGAAGCUGGGAUCUGAACACUCACUUGAGACCCCAAGGCCCACAAUCUAUUUGCCACCAAAAAACAAGACAAAGCAAAACACCAUGACAGGAAAACCGAGUUGCAGACAAAUGAAAGUGACUUACCUCAGGGCCUUUGCAUGUGACAUCCUCUCUGCCUGGAAUGCUCUUCUCAGAUAUCACCUUGGCAUCCCCCAUCACCUUCUUAAGGUCUUCACUUAAAAGUCAUCAUCUGGCCGGGCGCGGUGGCUCACCCUGUAAUCUCAGCACUUUGGGUAGGCCAAGGACUGGAUCCUGGACCUGCCCCUGGGACUUGCGGAAGGGGACAGCUCAAUCUGAGCCAUAUCAACUGAGAACACAGGAAGCAUGGUCCUACCAAGAGAUGUCUAUUCCAGGUAUGGUGGAGCCUCAGAGGACAGCAUGACUCUCGUUCAGCUGGUGGAUCAGGGAAUGGUCCAAUAAGCCACAGCUGUGGAUAUGAAGGUCUGUUGAUUUCAGAUUGAGCUAUAGGGGGAUACUGGGCAUGGCAGAAAAAUCUAUCAAUCUCUGCUAUAGUUAAAUAUUUGAAUAUUGGAUUGUUUGCAGAUCUUGUGAAAUCAGUGACCUCUGGGUCAUGUAGAAACCCAGCACAUUCCCACAGGACACAGCCUAGCAGUUGAUCAGAGCAGUAGUUCAUACCUGAGACCCUGGAUUUUCAGACCCUCCCCCAGGCCCCACCAGCCUCUGUCAGUGCCAAGCUGGACGGAACAAACCACAUGAGGUGGGCAGAACCAAGGUGCCCUCCCUACACCUUCCUGGGGCCUCCAGCGAUCCUGAGCUCAGCCUCCUGACCUGCAGACCCCUCAGCUCUGGCCCUCACGUCCUGCUUGCUGUACCUGCUUUAUCCCAUAUCACCAUCUCCAUUCCUCAGCAUAGUGACAAUCCCAGUUCCUACCCAUUCCACUGGCUUCUCCAUUUGGCUUGGAGCUCUUUAGCUGGAUUGAGACGACUACUCUGAUGAGUGCCAUGUCACUGGCUCAACAAAAUGGGCCCAAGUGAGUCAAUGUCAUUGACAUGAAGGUGCUGUCAGUUUGGUGGGAACCAAGGGAAUGAGACUGUGUUUUAGCUGCGUUCGUUUGAACAGUUACACACUUAGGGCUUCUUAUGCGGAUGCUCAGAGAGAAAUAUGGAAGACGAGAUCUCGUAGAAAACAAGAAGACAUGUUGUAAAUGAGUCAGGCCUCCUGGAGUCCAGGACUAGGGAGGAACUCUUUAUUGAGGAUCACUCGAGGGAGUCUUGGGGCUGGUGGUCUUCACGCCACAGCCCCAUAACUCAGCUCCUCUCUUCCUUCUCUCAGUCUCUCUGCUUCUGUUUUUUGUCUCAUGUCCUAAAUGUCCAACUAUUCAGCAUAACUUUAUUCUGCUUCCCCUCUCUAUCCUCUGUAGCAAAAUGCACUGUUGGAAUUACAUUUUUAUUUUUAUUUUUAUUUUUAUUUUUUUAAGACGGA